rnacentral:rRNA from 1 species
AUACGUAGGGGGCGAGCGUUGUCCGGAAUGAUUGGGCGUAAAGGGCGCGUAGGCGGCCCGGUAAGUCUGGAGUGAAAGUCCUGUUUUUAAGAUGGGAAUUGCUUUGGAUACUGUCGGGCUUGAGUGCAGGAAAGGUAAGUGGAAUUCCCAGUGCAGCGGUGAAAUGCGUAGAGAUUGGGAGGAACACCAGUGGCGAAGGCGACUUACUGGACUGUAACUGACGCUGAGGCGCGAAAGUGUGGGGAGCAAACAGGAUUAGAUACCCUGGUAGUCCACACUGUAAACGAUGAAUGCUAGGUGUAGGGGGUAUCGACCCCUUCUGUGCCGCAGUCAACACAAUAAGCAUUCCGCCUGGGGAGUACGGCCGCAAGGUUGAAACUCAAAUGAAUUGGCGGGG